AAAUAGAUACCCUGGUAGUCCAUGCCGUAAACGUUGGGCACUAGGUGUGGGGGACAUUCCACGUUUUCCGCGCCGUAGCUAACGCAUUAAGUGCCCCGCCUGGGGAGUACGGCCGCAAGGCUAAAACUCAAAGGAAUUGACGGGGGCCCGCACAAGCGGCGGAGCAUGCGGAUUAAUUCGAUGCAACGCGAAGAACCUUACCAAGGCUUGACAUGUGCCAGACCGCCUCAGAGAUGGGGUCUCCCUUCGGGGCUGGUUCACAGGUGGUGCAUGGUUGUCGUCAGCUCGUGUCGUGAGAUGUUGGGUUAAGUCCCGCAACGAGCGCAACCCUCGUUCCAUGUUGCCAGCACGUAGUGGUGGGGACUCAUGGGAGACUGCCGGGGUCAACUCGGAGGAAGGUGGGGAUGACGUCAAAUCAUCAUGCCCCUUAUGUCUUGGGCUUCACGCAUGCUACAAUGGCCGGUACAAUGGGUUGCGAUACUGUGAGGUGGAGCUAAUCCCUAAAAGCCGGUCUCAGUUCGGAUUGGGGU
rnacentral:rRNA from 1 species